UCCCCCCCAUAAUUCUUCAAACCACAAAACCAGACAUUCUGGAACAUCAUAACCCAUUCUCCUCUACUAGAAGAUCUUCCUACCCACUGAUUUCCAUUUGUAGGACUGAUUUAUGGGAUGGUGUGUGCGUGCCCAUAUCCUUGGGUUUUUUCCAUCCACUUUUGGUGGCUUUCCCCAUUGCUCACAACUGGACCUAGAAUUGCAACUGGAACUUUGAUGUUGCUGAAAUAAGGCUUUGAGUACCCGAGGAGGGAAGCUGUGGAGAGAAGUUACAAGUGAGGUGUGGAAUAUCAGAGCCCUGCCACCUCUGCCAGUUGGAAGAUACAGAGCAUCCUACCACACACUGCAUCUGUUGGAGCACCACAGUGGUUGGCCAGAACAAACGCCUUAGAGGAGGCAGCAAAAGUGAAGCCAAGAAGAAAGUGCUGGAUCCAUUUUCUAAGAAAGAUUGGUAUGAUGGCACCUGCUAUGUCCGAUCUAAGAAACAUUGGAAAAACACUAGUCAUAAGGAUUCAAGGAACCAAAACAGCAUCUGAUGGCCUCAGGGGUUCUGUGUUUGAGGUGAGCCUUAUUGAUCUGCAGAAUGAUGAUGAUGCAUGUAGAAAAUUCAAGCUAAUUAUUGAGAGUGUUUAUAGCAAAAGCUGCCUAACUCAUUUUCAUUAGCAUGAAUCUUACUGAGGACAAAAUGUGCCCCAUGGUCAAAAAGUGGCAGACUAUAAUUGAAGCUAACAUUGAUGUCAAAACUAUGAAGGUUAUUUGCUUCAUCAGCUCUGUGUUGUUAUAUUACUUAAAAAUAUAGCCUGGGCUAAGGAUGUAGCUCAGUGGUAGAGCAUUUAUUUAGCAUGCAUGAGGCCCUGGGUUCUGUCCCCAGGACUGACAAAAGAAAAAUAAAAGAAAAAUCAGCCAACAAUCAUGUGCAGAAAACCUCUUAUGCUUUGGCCUGGGCUACAUGUUCAGAAGAUCCUGGAGAUGAUGGGAUUCAUGACCAGAGGAGUACAGACAAAUGCCUAAGAAGGGAUCAAUAAAAAGAAUCCAGAAAACAUUGGAAAGAGUAAGAAAAGGCUUGCCCAUCUCUUAUCGUCCUCAACAUCUUCUUCAUGAUGUCUUUGUUAGAAAAGUACAAAUGCUAAUGAAGCCCCGUUUGAAGUAGAAAACUCACGGAGCUUCAUGGUGAAGGUAGUAGUUCUGGAAAAAUUCCUGGAGAUGAGACAGCAGCUGAGGUUGAACAAGCCAAUGGACAUGAGCCAGCAGCCCAAGCAUCUGUUUGAAAUUCAGAAUUUUGAUACCGACAAAAAGUCUUAUUUGUGUGUAGGUCCCUGGAACUGAGCUCUUGCCCCAGCACCUCCUGCAGACCUGGGGAGUUCUCUGUGGGUCUUGCCCUUGGGGUUGGGGAGGUGAAGGGAGUAGUCAGUACAGCAAAGCCCUCCAGGCUGGCAAACCCCAUUCCUGGCCCAUGUGCCCUCGAACUGCCUGACCUGGGUGGGCAGGCUCAGGGCAUGGUCUUCUCUCUGUGCUGCACACAAUGGCCCUCUCAGUUUAGCCCUGGCCUGCGUCAGCCUCAGAGGUGGGGGGCUGUGCCAUUCAUCCUGCUUGGACUUCCUGCUCAGGCACAGCUUUGAUCAUAUCUUUUCAUUUUCUGGUCAAAGGCUUCCCAGGGGAGAUAGGGAUGGCAGGGAGGAGAGGAAGUGGGAGGGGCAGACCCUGCUUCUCCAAACGUGGGGAAUCUGAAGGAAGGAUAUGAGACAUGUUGAGGCAGGAAGCAACUUGGCCUUGGGAGAGAGGACACUGGGCCCAGGCAGCAAAUCUUUAGGAGGAAUGUGGGGUUCCCAUUGUGUCUCCAAGAGGCGGGAUUCCAAGGCCUGCCCUGCUGAGCUUCAGGGAUGCUUUGGGUGGGUAGAUUCCCUGUAGUCUUAGCCAGGCACCUUCCUGGACACUAGGGGUGCAAGGAUGGGCAAGGUAGAAACGACUUCCUCUCUAGGCUAGAUCACUAUCUAGUGGGUGACAUUAAAUAAAAGGUCAUUUUCAGUUGUAUCCACUGUGAUGAAGGAUGGGGCAAGUUACCUACCAUUGGGUGACUAAUAUCUUGUAGUGGCUAAUGGAUUAUAGGUAACUGGCAAAAGUCUGGGCCACAGGCGGCACAGGUGACAAAUUAUCCUGUGGGCUGAGCUCCUCCAAUGGAGUCGUCUCCGGUUCCCCGUCAUUUUUUUUCAUUCAGCAAAUCUAUACUGAGUAUGUGGUAAAUUUGUAUUGGUGAACUGGGCACUGUUCUGGUGUUGGUGAACAACACAGGCAUUCACUCGUGGACCUUACCUUUGAGGGGGAAGCAAUAAUAAACAGAUAUACUAAAAAAGGAAAACAUCUGGUAGAUAUUAGUACAAUAUGAUAUAGAAUAAAAUGGCCUUUUUUUUUUUUUUUGGUAAGGGGGGAUUGAACUAUGGGGCACUUGACCACUGAGCCCCAUCCCCAGCCCUAUUUUGUAUUUUAUUUCUAGAGACAAGGUCUCACGGAGUUGCUUAGCGCCUCGUUUUUGCUGAGGCUGGCUUUGAUCCUCCUGCCUCAGCUUCCUGAGCCACUGGGAUUACAGGCGUGGGCCUUUAAAUUGCAACCUAAAUGAGAAAGGACUGGGCCCCGGGGCUAUCUGGGGAAGAGUAUUCCCAGUGAGGCCACCAUUCUGUAAAAGCCCUGGGAUGAGAAAACUGGAGCACAGAGAGUCAGAAUAAAUAAACAAGGACCAGAUCACAGUGAAGAUGGGAUUUUGUUCCUAUUGCAGAGAGAAACCAUUUGAGUGUUUUAAACAGGGUUCAAGAGAACCUUAAGAUACAUUGACUUGCCCUGGCAAGUCUAACUGGUAAGAUCAUCAUUCUUAGAUCAGGGUUCAGAAUCCUGGCCUUCUCUCCCAAACACUUCUCUCUUUUCAAGAUACAGAGCCUUGGGCCCACUUGUGUGUCUCCAGAGAAGGGAUGGUCAGGGAUGAACAUUGGUCCAUCAGUGAGAGGAGGAAACAUUUAUUAAAAUAUCAACCAUGAGCCAGACACAAUACUAGGAGCUUCAUUUAUUGUCCCUUAGUCCUUAUAACAUAACCUCUGUCUUCUGAGACGUGUGUCUCCUUUCUCAUUUCAUGAUGAAAAAAAAACAAGAAUCAGUGAGUUGCGGUGAUGUGUCUAAGCUGCAGCUACUAAGUGAAUGUGAACUCACUCUGGUCUCCCUUAAGGAUACUUUCCAUUGCUUCAUGCCUCUUCUAGAUCCAUUGAUAAGAUACAUAUUUUAAACCAGGGGCUGUGGCCCUCACCUAUAAUCCCAGGAGGAUUGGGAGGCUGAGGCAGAAGGAUUGCAAGUUCAAAGCCAGCCUCAGCCACUUAGCAAGGCCCUAAGCAACUUAGUGAGACCCUGUCUCUACAUAAAAUAUAAAAUGGGCUGGGGGGAUGUGGCUUAGUGGUUAAGUGCCCCUGAGUUCAAUCCAAAAUACCAAAAAAAAAAAAAAAUCAUAUUUUAGUGUGUUGAAAAACUUGUUUGGUUUAAAAAUAUUACAAUUUGACAAUAGGUACUCGAUCUUAUUUGAUCUUACUUUUUUCUACUAGCUUACCCUACAAUAAGUUCUCAGUUCAUUGCUCCACAUCACCCCCUAGAGUAUACAAUGGUGCAUUCUUCUGAGUGGAUUAAGAAAGGAGGCACAGAAAGAGCUUCCAGAAGCCUCGGGCAUGUGGGGAGCUUGGAAGCAGCUCCUCCAUCCACCUCCAUCCACUGCCGUGGGGAAGCCCGGAGCUGUUCUGGCCCUCGCACUUCUCUGGCUGGAAGGUUGGGUGGGGGGCUACUUUGCUCAAGGAUGCUCUCAAUGCAAAUGCAAGGAGGAGCCUUCCGAGGGGCUUCCCACAGGAAAUCACCCGCACUCCCACUGCCAGCUUGGGAGUGUGGGGAAGGCAGGGGUUUCCAGACUCAAAGGCCUGAAAACUAACUGCAUCUUUCACAUGAGAACAGCCAGAAUCCCCCAGGCAGGAGCUGAGGCUCCUGUGAAUUCAGCAGUGGGCUUAUCAGUGGGAGGGGAGCCUAAUCCCUGGGGUGGAAGAGUCCAUCAGGCCUCCCCACCGGGGGCUGGGCUGUCUGAUCAAAACCAUCUGAGCCUGAAUCACUGAAUGUUUGUCUUUGCUCCAUUUAUCUAGGGGCCCUGGGAUUUCUUGUGGAGUGGCUAAUGCCUGAGGCUCUUCCUCUGUUUAUUUUCUUUGGUUGUUCUCCCAUAGCUGAUGGAUGUAGGAAGCAGUUAGUCCCUGAUGGGUUGGCUGGAAAAAUGUAAGGUGCAGCCAAUUAGAACCAACCUGUGGAAUGUCUUUAAGGAGUGCAAAAAGAGAAAGGGGAAAAAAUCAAUUGCCUCACUAGCUGAUUUCUGGUGCCUGAUGUUCCACCUUGAGAAUUUCACUCCUUUGGGAUAAAUAUUGAGGCUUGCUUAUUUAAAAUGCAAAUAUCCUUGGGACCAGCUAAUACAGGUGAUCGGUACACUUAAUGGUUUUCGCCUGCUUCCUCAAAAGUCCAUACCUUUCCAAGUAAGGCCAAUAAAGACAACCCUAUUUCAACCAGCCAGAACUUUAUAGCUGUAUGCUCUUGGACAAGUCAUGAUCCAUUUAAACCUCAGUUUCCAUAUCUCUAAAACAGGAACAGAGACUCCAUUUCACCGAAGUGCUCCUAAAUGAGUUAACCCAUGAGAUACAAACUGUUUAUUGUCUCUGUCUCCCAUUAGGAAGUAAAGUCCAUGGUCAAAAACUUUCUUUUCUCUGUUACUCCAUUUCUAAAACAGUGCCUGACACAUAGUAGGUGUUCAGAAAAUAUUUUAAAAUGAAUGAAUGAAUGAAAGACAGCCAACAGUUAUUAAGUGCUGACAGGAUUUGGGAACUCUUAUAAAUUUUUCAUGUUUUAUUUCAUGCUCUAUAAAGGAAAGAUAUAAUAAAAAGGUAGUUUUAGACAGCAUGGGCCUCCAGGGCAAAUAUAUAUUUGUAUGUUGGAGGAUUGAUUGAAAGAAGAAAUAUUAAAAUUAGAAUUAAUUUUCCUGCCUUCCAUUAUAAUAUGGUGGACAAAGCAGCUGGUGGCAUCAGGUCCCCACCCUGCAGGUUUUAUGUCGGGAGAGAGUGAGUAUAAACGUUUUCUGCUUCACGAAUCAGUCCUGGCUGACCCCACGGCUCUGGGUCUUGAUUCCCCACAGUUCCUGACCAUGCCUGGAGACCUGCUUGGGUGCUUGUGAGGAUGCAGGAAGCCAGGAUCAGGGCUCUUGUGGGAGACUAGUUCUCUAAUAAAGAACCCAGAGGGGAUGGCAUAUCGGACUGGGUCCUGAUCUGAGCCUGAUCCUGGGUCUUGAUUUCCAUCAGAAAUCGAGAAUAAAAAUGUCCAUUACAGGGCCACACAGGAGCUUCUUUGUAUUCCCCUUGAAAGAAACUCGAUGAAUAUGUAUGGAAUUGUCUCCCCGUGGAAUGUAAGGGGAAGGGUGUGUCGCUGGUCAGCGAAGGUCAGAAUUCACUGUGGGCUCAUGGAUCCUUGUGACUAAUGGGACAUGCCAUAAGGAAUGUGCCUGGAGGGGGUGGAGUGUCCCUUUCCUUGUGAAAUUAGAUUUCUGGAUGGAGAGCUUUGGUUCAAGAGGCCAAGGCAACAGAGAGGGCAAACCUGACUCGGGGAGAGGUCGGGAGAGGCCCUGGCAAUGCUGCCAUCCAAGAGGCCAUUGCAGCUGGUCCUCAGCCUGGGUGAAAAGAAGGCCCUCUGUCUUUCAGCCUUCUUUACCGAGGAUGCAGGGCUCCCGUUUCCCAUUUUGAGCCAGGGACUCCUCCUCUGCCUUGUUUCUGAGAAUCCGGCAGAAGACACAAGAUGCUGGAAAGUGCUCCGGGGCCUUGUGCUCUUCUCCCUGCUGUCCUGUUCCCAGCCAUGGCAGAUGAAGGGCCUUUGGGCUCCUGGUCUCUGAGCAGAGGUCUGUGGUCAACAGGUAUCAUGUGGGCCCCAGGCAAUUAGAGCAUGUGUUCUGAUAAAAGGGUGAAGGAGGGAAUGAAUGAAACCCCAGCAGCUCUCACCUAUCUCAUUCCUGAGAAUCUCAGGGUGAGAAAUCGAGAUCCUUUAAAAUGGGCCACUUCCAGGGGAGCCCCAGAUGGUGGAACUCGCUCAUAGUGUAAGCAGGGCUCACCCUGGAGCAUCUAGAAAGAGGUUCCUUGAAAGGAAGAGGGUUGAGCUCCAACUUUCCCAAAUAAGGACAGGGUUGCCUAGCCCUACCCCUAUUUCUAGCACAGAGCCAGGCUCUGAAAGAGAAAUUGUAGGAUAAAAAUAUUUUGAAGUCAAUGGCUUUAAAUUCACUGGAGAAAUUUCAUUAGGUGUCCUGAGGUGGGGAGAGAAACAAGGAAGAUUCUUUCAGGAUAGAAAGAAGGAAGAAGAGGUUCUGCUGCCCACCCCGCAACUUUGUCACAACAGGAAGAGGCUGGAGUUGGAAGAAGUCUCCCACCCAACAGCACCCAGAGGGCCUGGUGAUCAGUGGGAUCAGGGGACUCAUCAAGGAGUCCCCUGCCCCAGGUGGGCACGGGAGGAGCACCAUCACCCUCAAGUAGCCACGAAGGCUACAACAGGGGAGAGGUGGUGCCCUUGGUGAACUGAGUCUGAAGGACUGUCCUCACGUUCAGGUCCCACAAGAGCCUCUCCGGUCUGCUAAUCAGUCAUGAAUGAGACAAAACCUCUACCAUCCUUGAGCGUAGGGACUUGGAAUGGAAUUUUAACUUGACUUAAAUGAAUUGAAUGUGAUAUUUUUGGCAUACCUCAAUUGCAGGCUGAGAGUCACUCACACACAUUAUGUAAGGAAACGGCUCCUUGGAUAUUUUUUCCCUCUAUCUCAAAUGCAAUGAGAUUCUAAGGACCUCACGGAUUGGCUGUGGGUGAGUCAGGGGGAUGAGCGAUUGGCUGGCAGGUGGGGAGUGAAUGCAGGUCUGCUAGAGGCUGAAAGUCCUCCCUGGCCCGCUGUGAGGGGCUGCUUGAUCCUGAUCCUUCUGCUGCUGCUGUAGAACACCAAAUUCUCACCACCCUGGACAGGACAGAUAGAGGGGCACUUGUGUCCUCUGAGUAGCCAAGCUGGAUGUCUUAGGUCUCCAGGGUGACCAACCAUCCAAGUUGGCCCAACAUUGAGGGAGUUUUAAGAAUGUAAGACUUUCAGUUUUGCUUUGUUUUAUUUUUGCAGUGCUGGGGAUCAAUCCAUGAGAGGCUAGUGCUCUACACUGACCUGCACCCCACCUCCAGGACUUCCAGUUUUAAAACUGGGACGAGCUGAUCACCUACCUUGUUGUUGGUUCAUUAUCUUAUCCAUUCCUGGCUUUCACAGGGUGCUCCAAAAUCACCCAACUCAGACUGGGGAUUGGGAAUGAGAUAGAAGGACCCCUUCCCUUUUUAUACAAGCAAGCACGAGGGGCUGAAAUUCUAGGAUUUUCCUUAGGAAUCCAGAAAGGCAAGAAAGUUGGGAUUGGGACCUGGCCAAGUGACAGAGUGGGGACACACUGGGAUAGGUGAGGACUCUCCACCUUCACUGUCACAUUCCUAGAAAAUCAAGAGCUAUUGGCUUCUCUGAUUUUCCAUAUUAACCACUCAACCCUGAUAUCUCAGCACCCGGGACCGACCAGAAGAGGAGAGACCCGGGCUCUUACUCCUGGUCCUCGAAUCUGGGCUCCAUCAACACCAAGAGCACCCACCGCCACAGAGGCAAAGCCCUGGGAUGCAGAAGGACUCCAGCAGGUCACUGCCACACAGCAGCAAGAUCCGCAGCUCUGAGGAGGGAGCAAAGUUGGCAGAGGGAGUAAGAGAAGGCCUGGGAGUACUCCGCUGCGCCUUCCUCCUUCAUGAACCCAGACGUCCCGCACUCUGGCCCUGGGGGCUGCACAGCCCAGGGCUCCCAGCAGCCCGGCGCCAAGAGUGACUGGCAUGCAGUAGGCGCUCAGACUUGGCGAGUGAAUGAGCCAACAACGAGCUGACGCAGAGGCCAUGCAGGCUGCCUGGAGCUUCCCCCACCUGCCUUGGUGCCUAUCUAUGGUCACCUACAGGCCUCCCUGGCAGGGUUGAAGUCCCAUGUGCAACCACUGGAGGGCAGCAGUGAUUUCUCCCGGUUUAUUGGACGAGCCUCCAGUUUCCUGACCAGGAGCCCCUGGCCUGGGGCAGCCCUGGAGGAGCAGCCUGCUGUUAGGAAUGUGGAAAUGGGAUCACAGGUGCUGAAGGAGCUGGAAGAUGGCUUUUCCUUGUGAAGUGUGCAAGAGGAUUUUAAAAAGCGGGCCUUAUGAGGCUGGGGAGGCUCUGAAGGAAAACUGCCACUUGAUCCAGUCCUACCUCCAGGGAACUGGCCUGCGUCUGGGCAGGAGAUGUUGAAGAGAAGCUAAGAUUACUGAGCACAUGCAUUGUGCCUAUGGAGUCCUUGACAGAUGACAGAAACUUUGUGAGCGUCAGCCGAAAGGACAACCUUCUGUGUCUCACGAAUAUUGGCCCUCCUGCCUGCUUCAUGGGGCUCAGAUGAGAUCAUGUCUGCAAAAGGGCUCCGUGAGCUUGGGAAAGGUCAUGCAAACACGAGGUACUAUGGCCACCUGCAGCCUCUUCAGGCCAGAGAUGUCAAUAACACAGCCAAGCGAGAGAGCAGCGCCAGGCAGAAUGGGCUGUGUUCGUGUUGCAGGAAGCGAGUGGGUGGGUUCUGAGCCCUCUCUGGCCUGUUCAGCGGUGUGAAUACACAUUCCAGAGCCAAGCGGAAAUUCGAUGUGUAUUCUUCAUUAUCCUGUGCUAUCAGGCCUGCUGCUUUCCCCAGGGCUGCAGAAAACGUAGAGCUGAUCACACAGCAUUCUUCACAGCUGACCCAGAAGCAACCCUCCCUCGCCCAGAGUGAGUGGGAGACCAGCUAUGGUGCAGCAGAAACAAAGGACCAGUAUUCAGUCCCUUAGCUUCACAAGGGCCACUGUUUACUCAGGGUCCCUCCCCUGAAGGCAGCAUCUGGAGAGCGAUGGUGCCUACCACCCACUCCCGCCCACCACCCUUUCUGGAUCAGAGUCCUGCAGUGUUAAAGGAUCCCCGAGUUCCAGGGCUGGGAUGAUAGUCUGAGCACCUCUUCUACAGCCACCCUGCAGGCAGAAUGGCUCGCAAGUCCUUCUGGGCCCUGGAAAAGCAGCCUGUGUCUUGUGGGGGAACCUGUCACUUUUGUCAUGCUCCUCAUAGGCAAAGGUCACAGCAGCAUGCAGCCACCAUCUGGGAGCCAGCUGGGGCUGUGGACUCAGAUCUUCUCAGUCUGCUUUGUGGGUUUCUCUGCCCAGCUGUGCUGAUGGAGUAGGAGGCGUGGUCUGCCUCCUUUUGUUAUUCUUUUACCACCAGAAAAGAAAGUGGCACAUUUUCUCAUUUAAUAACUGGUCUGGUUAUUAACUAGCUGAGGAAUUUCUCCCUCUUGCUGGACAAACCCCACUGAAUUGCUCUCUCCCAGAGAAGAAAAUGGCUGACGGUAUGUGCCGCCCCCGCCCUUCUCAACUCCCAGUGGCUCAGAGACCUCUCCAAACAGCCCUGAGCGCCUGUCUCUCUGGCACAUCUCUUCUCCAUGCCAGGAGCACUGGCCUCACACCACAACUGGGAAGGCUCAGGGGGAUUGGGAAGCGGCUCCAAGCUUCUGCUCCAAAGCAGGGGACCAUCUGUGACCUAAAUGGUCAGCCAGCCUCUGCCCAUCAGCCAGAAGCAGCUGGGGCUUCUGGCUGAGUUUCUCUGGUCCAGACUCAUGCUUUGGGCAAGAGUAAAAGAGGGAGUGUCCAGGAAGCCGGGUCAUUUGGACAACAAAACAGCAGCCAGGCUUAAUGGCCACAACUAUGACCAGCGCUCAGAAAUGCCUGCAAGGAGGAUGCUGCGGCUUAAACAUGGACGCCUGAGGCACUUCCAGAUCCGAGGGCCCAAAGAUGGACGUGCACCUGAGGAAUAUCAGGGUCUGGGGGCCUAAAAAUGGACAUGCACCUGAGGAACUUCCGGAUCCAGGGGCCUAAACAUGGACGUGCACCUGAGGAACUUCCGGAUGCCACAGCCUAAACAUGGAGGACUGAGGAACUUCCGGAUCCGAGGGCCCAAAGAUGGAUGUGCACCUGAGGAACUUCCGGAUCUGGGGGCCUAAACAUGGAUGUGUACCUGAGGCACUUCUGGAUGCUACGGCCUAAACAUGGAUGUGCGCCCAAGGAACUUCCGGAUCCAGGUGCCUAAACAUGGAUGUGCACCUUUGAAACUUCUGGAUCUGGAUCCGAGGGCCUAAACAUGGACGUGUCCCUGGAACUUCUGGGUCCUUGUGCCUAUAAAGGGCAUGGCUUGACUCUCAGAAGGGACGUGGCCCAUGAAGGGGAGCUAAGUAUGGGGCCUGUUGGGGGGUAGAUUGAGCUUUAGCACCCUGAACUUGAAUGUGACGAUGGUGGCCUCACUUCCCAGCCUUCCCCUGGGUGUCACUUCCUCCCCUUCCAGGCGGUGCCAAGCACAGGGGCCAGGCCCUGAGGAGGAACACCAACUUUCUCCUCGCUUAGCCAGGCGCCCAACCUUGCUGGGGAUGGGGACGUCUUAUGACACUAGCUGUCUCCUGCAUCCCUGCCCCAGGACCUCAGGGACCACAGGCGGGGAGACGUUGACAUGAUUCUCCCCUGGCCGCUGACCCUCAGCCCUGGGGUCUGCCCAGGGAGAGCUCUGUCUCCCAGAGGGUCAGGGGGCCCCUGUGACCUGCUGCUCCUUACCCACUGUCAUCCUGGGCGAGCAAAGGUCAGGACACCAGACACUACUGAGAGUGACAUCUCCUGGAUGGGCGGCUGGGGACUUUGCCUCUGUCUCCAGGCCUCAGACACCGGAUGAUCCCUCCCAGAGACAGAAAAUAACCCCACACUGCCCAAGACUUAUUUUUAAGCUUUGGAUUCUGAAAUUUUCCUGCUGCCACCUUCUUUGUGAAGCCAGUUUUUCAACAGAGACAAUAUUCCAGGGGGGGGUGGGGGAACAACAUGGAGUCAAUCAAACCAAGCUGACACAUCUGGUCCUCCAAGAGAAAUCUGGAUUGGAGGGAGAACAGCCAUUCUCAACUGGCGAAAUAGUGAAGUUCCCUUGUCCUUAUUUUGAGUAAGCAAAAUAAAUAAUCUGAUGUUAACUC